rnacentral:rRNA from 1 species
CCUCGUCUGAUUUAGUUGUUGGUAAGGUGGCGGCCCACCGAAGCGACGAUCAGUAGCCGGCCUGAGAGGGUGAACGGCCACGUUGGGACUGAGACACGGCCCCAACUCCUAGGGGAGGCAGCGGUGGGGAAUUUUCACAAUGGGGGAAACCCUGAUGCAGCAACGCCUCGUGAGUGAAGA